GGCGCUAUGGUGUAGCGGUAGCACACGGGAUUCUGAUUCGGUAGGCGCCCGUAGCCCCCCGGGGAUUCUGAUUCGGUAGAUCUCCGUUCUUCCCGUAACCCAGGUUCGAUCCCUGGUAGUGCCU